rnacentral:rRNA from 1 species
GACGAACGCUGGCGGCGUGCCUAAUACAUGCAAGUUGAGCGCUGAAGGUGGGUACUUGUACCAACUGGAUGAGCAGCGAACGGGUGAGUAACGCGUGGGGAAUCUGCCUUUGAGCGGGGGACAACAUUUGGAAACGAAUGCUAAUACCGCAUAAAAACUUUAAACACAAGUUUUAAGUUUGAAAGAUGCAAUUGCAUCACUCAAAGAUGAUCCCGCGUUGUAUUAGCUAGUUGGUGAGGUAAAGGCUCACCAAGGCGAUGAUACAUAGCCGACCUGAGAGGGUGAUCGGCCACAGUGGGACUGAGACACGGCCCAAACUCCUACGGGAGGCAGCAGUAGGGAAUCUUCGGCAAUGGACGAAAGUCUGACCGAGCAACGCCGCGUGAGUGAAGAAGGGUUUCGGAUCGUAAAACUCUGUUGGUAGAGAAGAACGUUGGUGAGGGUGGAAAGCUCAUCAAGUGACGGUAACUACCCAGAAAGGGACGGCUAACUACGUG